AGUGAACGCUGGCGGUAGGCCUAACACAUGCAAGUCGAACGGCAGCACAGUAAUAGCUUGCUCUUACGGGUGGCGAGUGGCGGACGGGUGAGGAAUACAUCGGAAUCUACUUUUUCGUGGGGGAUAACGUAGGGAAACUUACGCUAAUACCGCAUACGACCUACGGGUGAAAGCAGGGGAUCUUCUGACCUUGCGCGAUUGAAUGAGCCGAUGUCGGAUUAGAUAGUUGGCGGGGUAAAGGCCAACCAAGGCGACGAUCCGUAGCUGGUCUGAGAGGAUGGUAGGCCGCACGGGAACUGAGACACGGUCCAGACUCCUACGGGAGGCAGCAGUGGGGAAUAUUGGACAGUGGGGGCAAGCCUGAUCCAGCCAUACCGCGUGGGUGAAGAAGGCCUUCGGGUUGUAAAGCCGUUUUGUUGGGAAAGAAAAGCAGCAGGUUAAUACCCCGCUGUUCUGACGGUACCCAAAGAAUAAGCACCGGCUAACUUCGUG
rnacentral:rRNA from 1 species